rnacentral:rRNA from 1 species
AUUGAACGCUGGCGGCAGGCUUAACACAUGCAAGUCGAGCGGGGGAAGGUAGCUUGCUACCGGACCUAGCGGCGGACGGGUGAGUAAUGCUUAGGAAUCUGCCUAUUAGUGGGGGACAACAUCUCGAAAGGGAUGCUAAUACUGCAUACGUCCUACGAGAGAAAGCAGGGGAUCUUCGGACCUUGCGCUAAUAGAUGAGCCUAAGUCGGAUUAGCUAGUUGGUGGGGUAAAGGCCUACCAAGGCGACGAUCUGUAGCGGGUCUGAGAGGAUGAUCCGCCACACUGGGACUGAGACACGGCCCAGACUCCUACGGGAGGCAGCAGUGGGGAAUAUUGGACAAUGGGGGGAACCCUGAUCCAGCCAUGCCGCGUGUGUGAAGAAGGCCUUAUGGUUGUAAAGCACUUUAAGCGAGGAGGAGGCUACUCUAGUUAAUACCUAGGGAUAGUGGACGUUACUCGCAGAAUAAGCACCGGCUAACUCUGUGCCAGCCGCCGCAGUAA